rnacentral:lncRNA from 1 species
GUUAGUGUACCUUUAGGUUUUGUGUUUGAACCUUUAUUGGUGUGUUUGGGGAAUUACUUCUAGUGGGUUUUUAUUUAUUUUUUUUAAAGCUAGUUAUUUAUUUAUAGUUGUUAUUUAUUUUAAUUUGGGAAAAAAACUAGAGAAAACUCUUCACGUUGGAUUUUCUUUUCUUUUCUUGAGUUUUCUUGCUUCGUCGUUUUGUUCCUGCACCAUAUUCGUCUUCAAUCGUAGUGGUUCAUUGGUGACGUUGGGUGCUUAUCUC